UUGUAAUUUGUAGAGGAUGAUUUGGGGAAGCCGCCUGUCUAAGUUCCUUGGAACAGGACGUCAUAGAGGGUGAGAAUCCCGUAUGUGACAGGAAAUGGCACCCUAUGUAAAUCUCCUUCGACGAGUCGAGUUGUUUGGGAAUGCAGCUCUAAAUGGGAGGUAAAUUUCUUCUAAAGCUAAAUAUUGGCGAGAGACCGAUAGCGCACAAGUAGAGUGAUCGAAAGAUGAAAAGCACUUUGGAAAGAGAGUUAAAAAGCACGUGAAAUUGUUGAAAGGGAAGCGCUUGCAAUCAGACUUGUUUAAACUGUUCGGCCGGUCUUCUGACCGGUUUACUCAGUUUGGACAGGCCAGCAUCAGUUUCGGCGGCCGGAUAAAGGCUCUGGGAAUGUGGCCUCCACUUCGGUGGAGGUGUUAUAGCCCAGGGUGUAAUACGGCCAGCCGGGACUGAGGUCCGCGCUUCGGCUAGGAUGCUG
rnacentral:rRNA from 1 species